rnacentral:rRNA from 1 species
GACGAACGCUGGCGGCGUGCUUAACACAUGCAAGUCGAACGAAGAGCGAUGGAAGCCUGCUUCUAUCAAUCUUAGUGGCGAACGGGUGAGAAACGCGUAAUCAACCUGCCCUUCAGAGGGGGACAACAGUUGGAAACGACUGCUAAUACCGCAUACGAUCUAAACUCGGCAUCGAGGAUAGAUGAAAGGUGGCCUCUACAUGUAAGCUAUCACUGAAGGAGGGGAUUGCGUCUGAUUAGCUAGUUGGAGGGGUAACGGCCCACCAAGGCGAUGAUCAGUAGCCGGUCUGAGAGGAUGAACGGCCACAUUGGGACUGAGACACGGCCCAGACUCCUACGGGAGGCAGCAGUGGGGAAUCUUCCGCAAUGGACGAAAGUCUGACGGAGCAACGCCGCGUGAGUGAUGACGGCCUUCGGGUUGUAAAGCUCUGUUAAUCGGGACGAAAGGCCUUCUUGCGAAUAGUGAGAAGGAUUGACGGUACCGGAAUAGAAAGCCACGGCUAACUACGUG